ACCAAUAAUAGCCUGGUGCAGCUUAGCAGACCUGAGAAACUAUUCAAAGAGCAAAUCAAAAUGGAGGGCACUUCUAUACUCCAUAGUUUCACUAACAUCUAUUUUGCCAUUUUUGCUUUGUUUUGCUUCAAGCUUUUAAUUAAGAUUUCUUUGGCUUUGCUGACCCAUUUCUACAUUGUUAAAGGCAACAGAAAAGAGGCUGCCAGGAUAGCAGAAGAGAUCUAUGGAAUAGUUCCAGGCAGCUGGGCCGACCGAUCCCCUCUUCAUGAAACUGCCUUCCAAGGACGCCUCCUGUCUCUGAAAACCUUGAUUGCACAGGGUUUCAACGUGAACCUGCUGACAGUGGACCGUGUGUCGGCUCUCCAUGAGGCCUGCCUCGGUGGUCACGUUGCCUGUGCAAAGGUGCUGCUGGAGAACGGCGCUCAGGUCAAUGCAGUCACCAUUGAUGGGAUCACUCCUCUGUUUAAUGCUUGCUGCAGCGGCAGCGCGGCCUGUGUCAACAUGCUGCUUGAAUUUGGAGCCAAGCCACAACUCAGGAACCACCUUCCUUCACCCAUUCACGAAGCGGUCAAGAGAGGUCACAGGGAGUGCAUGGAGAUACUUCUGGCCCAUGAAGUCGACAUUGACCAAGAAGACUUGCAGCAUGGGACCCCACUUUAUGUGGCUUGUACAUACCAGAGGACAGACUGUGUCAAAAAGCUUUUAGAGCUAGGAGCCAACGUUAACAUGGGGAAGCGAUUAGACACCCCCCUCCAUGCAGCAGCAAGGAAAUCCAACGUGGAGGUAGUAGUCUUGCUGGCAGACUAUGGUGCUAACCCAAAAUGCAGAAAUGCCGAACUCAAAUGUGCCCUGGAUCUUGCCGUACCCAACAGCAAAGUGGAGCAGGCACUUUUGCUUCGGGAAGGUCCUGCAAGCCUUGCCCAGCUGUGCCGGUUGUGUAUCAGAAAACAUCUGGGUCGGUCAUGUCUAUACGCAGUCCGCAAGCUGCACCUGCCUGAGCCACUUGAGAACUUUCUCCUUUAUCGAUAAGUCUGUGACUAUCUUUACACUGGAAAAGAAAGAGGAACAAAUGUUUGUUUACUCCAAAAUCAUUAUAUUCAAGAAAAAAACAAAGAUAUCAUUUAUUGUCUGCUGUGGGUACCAAACAUCAGAUGCUGCAUGACAAUGCAAAUUGAAAACACCUUUUCACAGAUGGAAUGAUAUGGACAUAGUUCCCUCAUGGCCUGUUGCCACAUCCAUUUCUGCCAGCCCAAGAAGCUGUAGUACAUGAACAGCUAGCUCACUUGACAUGUGGUCGUAGAUGCACAUGCACACAUCAACCCACAGACAGAAGUUUCCCCUUUAUUUAGAGUAUAUUUAUUUAUGUAGUAUCUGUGCAGCUUCUUCCUCUUGUCUAUCCAAUCUCACUGUCAAAAUCUAGUUAGUGGCUGUUAUUCUUCCGCUAGUGAGAGAAGGAAAGCCCACAGCACUCAACAUUUACCCUAUAUAUUGCAAAUCUUUUCUCAGCUUUGACCUUCCAUCCUGACAUCUUUUCCCUAUAAUCUAGUGAAGUUGUAGCAACUUCCAGCAGGCUGUGGCUAUGCAACCACUGUACCUCUUCUUGCCUGGAGCCCAGCUGCCCCGAGCACUAACACAUCUCGUCCUCUGAAGUUCAAGUGAUGUUACCAAAGCACAGGUGGGUGUUUGAAAUAAGCCCACAAAAAUGUGCGAAAGUCUUAAAAAGCCCUCCAUCUCUUCUAAAAAUAUUCCUUUAAUGCUUCGGAGAUCUGCCUGUGUUUAUUCAUUACAUGAAUAAUUUUUCCUGCUUAAUUCAAGGACAGAACUGCAAAUGUUUUCACAGGCAUUGUAGAUCAGCUGUCAAUGUCUGUCCUUGGCAAGACUUAAAGAAAACCAAAUGAAUGAGUUGCUGCUCUUUUAGGGUGUCUAUGCUUUGACAUUUCUCAAGUCCUCAGAGUGUAGAGCAGGACAGAAGCUGGGCCUCUAAGGAUAACUGCAUCACUCAUGUUCUCCUUGAUGAAUAUUGCUCACCAAACUUGCCUGCUUUUUCAACCCCUAGAAUCAUUGUUUCUAUGAUUCUACUCUACAGUGUUUCAUUACCUCCCUAGGAGAAGGAAUUUUUAGUGUGUUCUGUCUUUGCCUGUUGUCCUGUUAGUUUAAAUAUCAUCAGGGUUAGCAGCCUGGACACAGCAGACCUAAAAAUGUAUACUUCUUUAAGGUGAAAAAUGUGGGAUCAAGUGACUGAUGCAAUGCCUGUGUGGCUCUGUAAAGGUCUGUUCAUUUGUCCUUUGGUGUUCUGAGGGGAGAAAUGUUUCUUCAGACCUGAGUUUUCAUAAAAUUAUUCUGUGAGAAAAGUCACGGUGUUUCAGUAGUUGUAGUAAAAGGAAAGCAGGGUUAAAAGGAGAGUCUGUCUCCACGUAGCUCAACUUCCCAAGUCCAAGAGGCUGAUGAUGUGUUUUCAGGCUCUGAGAUACAAUGGCUUUUCAUUACGAACUAGUAUGCAUGCUGGUACCAAUUUUCACUGACCAUACAUCUUAAGUCUGGGAAAAUGGGGUUGCUGGAGCCUGAAUAUGGGCCUGGAUUCCAGCAGCCUUUUAGUAACUGUCCUUGCUUCAUCAGCAGCCACCUCUCUCGUUCAAUGAAGAGAUUAAUCUCUUAAUUUCCCCAUGAAAGCUUGUCUCUCUGAGAGGCUUGGCACCUAAAAAGGCUCAUCCUUGUGGCAGACUUUGUCUUCAUUAAAAAAUGAUAAGCUGAGCACAAUGGUUGCUUCAGGUCUGCAGAUGCCUGCCCCAGUGCUGUCAUGAGGAGAGAUGGUGAGAAAAUAACAUCUGGGUGCAACCCGCUCACCUUUCUAAGAUGGAGAAUGAUCAGGAGAACUCUUGUUUUGUGGUCUGCAGCUGCAGGCAGCUCCCAGGUCUCCUCUGUAGAGAGCAAGUACAUGAAGAACUGGUCCCUCCAAACAGUCUGAGGGGGUGCGCAGGUGGGGAGGAUGCAGGUGGGUCUGGUCCUGCUGCCUCCCUGCUCCCUUGCCAGGGUGAGAGAUGAGUGCAAACCUUUUCUUCACCACCACCAGCCAAAGGACAGUCAGGGUCCCAGGGAGGCUCUGUCAUUCCUCGUCUGGAAUACAGGGGAUGAUCCCAGGACCUGAUGUGGAGUGGCCCACAUGCCUUGGGAGAGGUCAGCUGGAGCCUGCUGUGCACAAGGAAUGUCCCCACAGCUGGGUGAAGAGAAGGGCUAGGCAGCCCUGCUACACAAUUUGGUCUUUAUGCUUCAGUUUCAGACUUUGUUUCAGACUGGUCUCCUUUACACGAUGCUUCUACCCAUGGACGCCUGUUUACUCUGACGAAACUCAUCAAACAGG